CUGGUCUAUACUGGUCCAUACUGAUUUGAACUGGUCUGUACUGGUCUGUACUGGUCCAUACUGGUUUAUACUGGUUUAUACUGGUUUAUACUGGUUCAUACUGGUUUAUACUGGUUUAUACUGGUUUAUACUGGUUUAUACUGGUUUAUACUGGGAAUGGGACUGGGAUAGACUGGGAACAAAAUGGGAGUUACUGGGAGGGGACUGGGAAUGAACUGGGAGGGACUGGGACAAACUGGGAGGGACUGGGAGGGACUGGGAGGGAAUUGGGUGAAUUUUGGGCGGAUUUUGGUCAUUUCCGGGCGGAUUUUUUGGGGAAUUUCGCCGGAAUUUUGGGAAUUUCACCGGAAUUUCGGGAAUUUCACCGGAAUUUCGGGAAUUUUCCGGAAUUCCGAUGGAAUUUUGGGAAUUCCAGGUUUGGAGCCCGCCUGGUUCCUCCUGGGGGAGAUUUUGGGGUGGAAUUUGAGGAUUUUGGGUGAAUUUUGGGCGGAUUUUGGUCAUUUCCGGGCGGAUUUUUUUGGGAAUUUCGCUGGAAUUUUGGGAAUUUCGCCGGAAUUUCGGGAAUUUUCCGGAAUUCCGAUGGAAUUUUCCGGAACUGCAGGUGCAGAGCCCGCCUGGUGCGCUGGGGGUCCCUCCUGGGGGAGAUUUUGGGGUGGAAUUUUUGGAUUUUGGGCGGAUUUUGGGCGGAUUUUGGUCAUUCCUGGGUGGAUUUUUUUUGGAAUUUCGCCGGAAUUUUGGGAAUUCUGCUGGAAUUUUCCAGAAUUCCGAUGGAAUUUGGGGAAUUCCAGGUUUGGGGCUCAUCUGGGGGGAGAUUUUGGGGUGGAAUUUGGGGAUUUGGGUGAAUUUUGGGCGGAUUUUGGUCAUUUCCGGGCGGAUUUUUUUGGGAAUUUCGCCGGAAUUUUGGGAAUUCUGCUGGAAUUUCGGGAAUUCCGCUGGAAUUUUCCGGAACUGCAGGUGCGGAGCCCGCCUGGUGCGCUGGGGGUCCCUCCUGGGCCGACUCUUCCCGCAGGUUCUGAGCUCCUGGAGCGGCUGCCGGGAUCCCCCCCCCGGGCAGGAGAGACCCUUCGGGGCUCUGCGGUGCCGCCUGUACCAGGUGCUGGAGCUGUGGGUGCAGGUGGCCGGCGCGGCCUCGGGGAUCCUGCAGGGUCCCGGCAGCGCCAGCGAGGCUCUCCUGGCUCACCUGAUCAGCGACAUCUCCCCCCCCUCCGAGGGGGCCAAGGUGAGCCAAAAACUCCCUUUUUUCACCCCAAAACCUUCCCAGGCUCCUGCAGAACCAAAUGAGACCCGGGAGGGGCAAAAAAAAACGGUCGGAGGGGGGAAAAUUCCGGCUGGAAUUCAAAAAAUUCCUGCUGGAAACUGAGAAAAUCUUGUUGGAAUCCCAAAAAAUCUCGUUGGAAUCCAAAAAUUCCUGCUGGAAUCCCAAAAAUUCCGGCUGGAAUCCCAAAAAUUCCGGCUGGAAUCCAAAAAUUUCUGCUGGAAACUGAGAAAAUCUCGUUGGAAUCCCGAAAAAUCUCAUUGGAAUCCAAAAAUUCCUGCUGGAAUCCCAAAAAUUCCGGCUGGAAUCCAAAAAUUUCUGCUGGAAACUGGAAAAAUCUCGUUGGAAUCCCAAAAAAUUCCCUCUGGAAUCAAAAAAAUCUCACUGAGAUCCCAAAAAUCUCAUUGGAAUCCAAAAAAUUCCCACUGGAAUCCAAAAAUUUCUCACUGGAAUCUGAAAAAAUCUCAUUGGAAUCCAAAAAAAUCUCAUUGGAAUAAAAAAAAUUCUACUGGAAUCCA
rnacentral:lncRNA from 1 species